AUUGAACGCUGGCGGCAUGCUUUACACAUGCAAGUCGAACGGCAGCGCGGGGCAACCUGGCGGCGAGUGGCGAACGGGUGAGUAAUACAUCGGAACGUACCCAGAAGUGGGGGAUAACGUAGCGAAAGUUACGCUAAUACCGCAUACGUUCUACGGAAGAAAGUGGGGGACCUUUGGGCCUCAUGCUUUUGGAGCGGCCGAUGUCUGAUUAGCUAGUUGGUGAGGUAAAGGCUCACUAAGGCGACGAUCAGUAGCUGGUCUGAGAGGACGACCAGCCACACUGGGACUGAGACACGGCCCAGACUCCUACGGGAGGCAGCAGUGGGGAAUUUUGGACAAUGGGCGCAAGCCUGAUCCAGCAAUGCCGCGUGAAUGAAGAAGGCCUUCGGGUUGUAAAGCUCUUUUGUCAGGGAAGAAACGGCUGAGGUUAAUACCUUCGGCUAAUGACGGUACCUGAAGAAUAAGCACCGGCUAACUACGUGCCAGCCGCCGCCGUAA
rnacentral:rRNA from 1 species